rnacentral:rRNA from 1 species
GCGGCAGGCCUAACACAUGCAAGUCGAACGGUAGCACAGAGAGCUUGCUCUCGGGUGACGAGUGGCGGACGGGUGAGUAAUGUCUGGGAAACUGCCUGAUGGAGGGGGAUAACUACUGGAAACGGUAGCUAAUACCGCAUAACGUCGCAAGACCAAAGAGGGGGACCUUCGGGCCUCUUGCCAUCAGAUGUGCCCAGAUGGGAUUAGCUAGUAGGUGGGGUAACGGCUCACCUAGGCGACGAUCCCUAGCUGGUCUGAGAGGAUGACCAGCCACACUGGAACUGAGACACGGUCCAGACUCCUACGGGAGGCAGCAGUGGGGAAUAUUGCACAAUGGGCGCAAGCCUGAUGCAGCCAUGCCGCGUGUAUGAAGAAGGCCUUCGGGUUGUAAAGUACUUUCAGCGGGGAGGAAGGUGUUGUGGUUAAUAACCGCAGCAAUUGACGUUACCCGCAGAAGAAGCACCGGCUAACUCCGUGCCAGCAGCCGCGGUAAUACGGAGGGUGCAAGCGUUAAUCGGAAUUACUGGGCGUAAAGCGCACGCAGGCGGUCUGUCAAGUCGGAUGUGAAAUCCCCGGGCUCAACCUGGGAACUGCAUUCGAAACUGGCAGGGCUAGAGUCUUGUAGAGGGGGGUAGAAUUCCAGGUGUAGCGGUGAAAUGCGUAGAGAUCUGGAGGAAUACCGGUGGCGAAGGCGGCCCCCUGGACAAAGACUGACGCUCAGGUGCGAAAGCGUGGGGAGCAAACAGGAUUAGAUACCCUGGUAGUCCACGCCGUAAACGAUGUCGACUUGGAGGUUGUGCCCUUGAGGCGUGGCUUCCGGAGCUAACGCGUUAAGUCGACCGCCUGGGGAGUACGGCCGCAAGGUUAAAACUCAAAUGAAUUGACGGGGGCCCGCACAAGCGGUGGAGCAUGUGGUUUAAUUCGAUGCAACGCGAAGAACCUUACCUACUCUUGACAUCCAGAGAACUUAGCAGAGAUGCUUUGGUGCCUUCGGGAACUCUGAGACAGGUGCUGCAUGGCUGUCGUCAGCUCGUGUUGUGAAAUGUUGGGUUAAGUCCCGCAACGAGCGCAACCCUUAUCCUUUGUUGCCAGCGGUCCGGCCGGGAACUCAAAGGAGACUGCCAGUGAUAAACUGGAGGAAGGUGGGGAUGACGUCAAGUCAUCAUAGCCCUUACGAGUAGGGCUACACACGUGCUACAAUGGCGCAUACAAAGAGAAGCGAACUCGCGAGAGCAAGCGGACCUCAUAAAGUGCGUCGUAGUCCGGAUUGGAGUCUGCAACUCGACUCCAUGAAGUCGGAAUCGCUAGUAAUCGUAGAUCAGAAUGCUACGGUGAAUACGUUCCCGGGCCUUGUACACACCGCCCGUCACACCAUGGGAGUGGGUUGCAAAAGAAGUAGGUAGCUUAACCUUCGGGAGGGCGCUUACCACUUUGUGAUUCAUGACUGGGGUGAAGUCAUAACAA